AGGGUGCAAGCGUUAAUCGGAAUUACUGGGCGUAAAGCGAGCGUAGGUGGCUUGAUAAGUCAGAUGUGAAAGCCCCGGGCUUAACCUGGGAACGGCAUCUGAUACUGUUAGGCUAGAGUAGGUGAGAGGAAGGUAGAAUUCCAGGUGUAGCGGUGAAAUGCGUAGAGAUCUGGAGGAAUACCGAUGGCGAAGGCAGCCUUCUGGCAUCAUACUGACACUGAGGUUCGAAAGCGUGGGUAGCAAA
rnacentral:rRNA from 1 species